GCGGCAGCGCUCCAGCUCGCUCUCUAUCUUCAGGCCUUGGAGAGUCUUUGAUAAUGACUUUCAGCUAAGAAUGAAAUCAGAACUUAAAAAUUACCACAGGAGGUUUUUUUCUGUGUGGAAGGAGGUUUACCUUAAAGAGGAAUGUUUUGAACUGCAAGUAACUGUUUUAGAGUGGCUUCAGCAAAUAGUUCUCCCCCCUCCCCCCACACUGUAACAGGAGACCUGGAGGUAAGCAGUUGUUGGCGCCGCCAUUCAGCAGCCCCACAGCACUGGGGCUGCCUUUCUGAAAUUCUCCCACUUCCCUUUGUGGUUGAGGACGACUCUGAGGUGAUGCACACCCCAUUCAGGGCUGGAAGAAGGGGAGAGGUCUGUAUCAAUCACUUGUCUCUUUUAUCAGAAGAGCAAAAGAUUUCCCAAGUUCCCUUGAUGUCUCAUUACCCAGAAUUGUGUCACAUGGCCAUCUAGCUGCAAAAAAAAAAGAUUAACGUUUUUUAGCCUUUAUUGUGGAGAUGUCGAAAGAGAAGGGGGUUGGAAAUGGAAACUGGGCUACCACCAAGUGUUAGACUGUGUAAGUCUUCUGGAGGCCGGCCUUUGUGUGCUCAGCUGCAGUUAGGCAACUCAGAACAACAGCUGCAGGUGGAGAGAGGCCACCCAUCAUCCAUGUCUGCUACCUUGGGCCUCAAUCUUAAUUUCCUGAUAAAGUUGCCUCCUGCCUGUCUCCACUUCCGGCUUCAGCUGGGGUAUACAAAGAAAAUCAUUUUGUUUUCAACCCAGCAAGGUUCCAAGCUGUGGGACUCAGCCAAUGCAGGUUGUAAGCCUUAGGUAAGGAGUUCUCUUAUUAAGACCUUAUUUAAUCUCUGCUUUCAAGUCAGUUAGAACUCUCUAAUCUAGAUUUGCCACUUUCUCAAAGGACUUUGCUGAAAGCUACUU